rnacentral:rRNA from 1 species
CCUACGGGAGGCAGCAGUGAGGAAUAUUGGUCAAUGGGCGCGAGCCUGAACCAGCCAAGUCGCGUGAGGGAUGAAGGUUCUAUGGAUCGUAAACCUCUUUUAUAAGGGAAUAAAGUGUGGGACGUGUCCUCUUUUGUAUGUACCUUAUGAAUAAGGAUCGGCUAACUCCGUGCCAGCAGCCGCAGUAAUACGGAGGAUCCUAGCGUUAUCCGGAUUUAUUGGGUUUAAGGGGUGCGUAGGCGGCCUUUUAAGUCAGCGGUGAAAGUCUGUGGCUCAACCAUAGAAUUGCCGUUGAAACUGGGGGUCUUGAGUAUGUUUGAGGCAGGCGGAAUGCGUGGUGUAGCGGUGAAAUGCUUAGAUAUCACGAAGAACCCCGAUUGCGAAGGCAACCUGCCAAGCCAUGACUGACGCUGAUGCACGAAAGCGUGGGGAUCAAACAGGAUUAGAUACCCCGGUAGUC